GCUGCCCGGAGGGACGGACGUGUACCUUCAAUAGUGUUACUGCUGUAAUGAAGACUUCCGACUGCGACGAUGGCAACUUCCUUUAUGGCGAUGAUUGCUAUCUUUUUGACACGACGCAUAGAACUUGGGAGGAAGGCGAGAAGUUUUGUCUCGCCCGGCGAGGCCACCUGGCUAGCAUACACUCUGAGCAAGAUGCCCGAUUCAUUAUUGAUCACGCAUAUUACUAUCAUACUUGGAUGGGAGAAAAGAAGAAGGGCAACAACUACGAGUGGACUGACGGAACAGCUUCUG